AAACGACUCUCGGCAACGGGUAUCUCGGCUCUCGCAUCGAUGAAGAAUGUAGCGAAAUGAAAUACUUGGUGUGAAUUGCAUAAUCCCGUGAACCAUGGAGUCCUUGAACGCAAGUUGCGCCCGAAGCCAUUAGGCCGAGGGCACACCUUCCUAGGCGUCACACGUCGUCGCCCCCCCAACCAAUCCCUCGGGAUUGCGGGGGGCGGAUGAUGGCCUCCCGCGCGCUCCGUCACGCGGUUGGCAUAAAUACCCAGUCCCCGACGGCGCACGCCACGACGAUCGAUGGUUGCGAGACCUCGGUUGCCCGUCGCGCGUCGGGGGCUCGAAAGAACGCUCGACUCCAGCUCGGCUUUCAACGCGACCCCAGGUCAGGCGGUGUCACCUGCGGAAUUUAAGCAUAUCAAUAAGUAGAGGAAAAGAAACUUUCGAAGAUUCCCCUAGUAACGGUGAGUGAACCAGGAACAGCCC
rnacentral:rRNA from 1 species